rnacentral:rRNA from 1 species
UACGAAGGUCCCGAGCGUUGUUCGGAAUCACUGGGCGUAAAGGGAGCGUAGGCGGCGUGGUAAGUCAGAUGUGAAAUCCCGGGGGCUCAACCCCGGAACUGCAUCCGAUACUGCCGUGCUAGAGGAUUGGAGAGGUAGCUGGAAUUCUUGGUGUAGCAGUGAAAUGCGUAGAUAUCUGGAGGAAUACCGGUGGCGAAGGCGGCAUCCUGGACC